CGCUCCCCCGACUCCCCUGCUCUCGGCAGCGGGCUCUCUGGACUCCACCUGCACCUCCUGUUUGUAGCCCCUGCUCUUGGAGGCUCCCGCACUCCAGGCCUAGCGGAGCCUCCCCGGGAUCCUGCGGAAACCGUGACAUGAAACUCCACAGAGUGAAGUGAACAGCGCAUCACCGCCCGGACCAUGGCCAGUGUGAGGUCCAGCCGCCCCAGCUGCAUCCGGGCCGCGUUCAGCGUCACCAGCACCAGGGCCGGCCUCCGCAGGAGGCAGAGGAACGCGCUCCAUCGCCUCAAGGUGCUUCCCGCGCAGCC